GGGCCCCGAUCUCUCGACCAAUAAGUGUUUUUACAUUUGACGUGUUUAACCCCCCGGACGAUUCCGAUGGGUCAUCAACUCCAGACUCAGUGUUUGAGGCGGAGACCAGCCCAGCAAGAACUCCUCCAACUCCCGCCUUGAUUCUACCCUAUGAUUAUGUGAGCAGUGAAGACUCUGAUGAUGAAGCACAAGAACAUGCGGAUAACCGGGACACUAAUGACCAGGUCAGCGAGUCAAGUACAAGUGAGGACUCUGAUUCAGAGUCUGAAAGUUCAUGUGACGAUACCCAGCAGACUUUCGUGGACGAUGAGUCCACCAGCUCUUCUGGCGAGGAAGACAGAGAUGAUCCUUUUGAGUCAAAUGACCAGGGCGCGCAGGGCGGGUCGACCUCUGAGUCUGAGGAUGACCUCCCUGCAAUACUGAGGGCUGCACGCGAGACACAAAGUGACAGCUCUAGUGACAGUUCCGGCAACUCCCAUAAAAAAAGGCGAGUGCAGGAAGAAGAAAGUAGUCGCAUCUUGAAAACCCCAGCCCCCAUUUCUGGUAAUGGAAAAUAUAACUGGCCAUGGUUGGAUUGAAACUUUAUUCAAUAAAAAUUAAUAUACAAGUA
rnacentral:lncRNA from 1 species